UACGGAAGGCAGCAGUGGGGAAUAUUGGACAAUGGGCGAAAGCCUGAUCCAGCCAUGCCGCGUGUGUGAAGAAGGUCUUCGGAUUGUAAAGCACUUUAAGUUGGGAGGAAGGGCAGUCAGCGAAUACCUUGCUGUCUUGACGUUACCGACAGAAUAAGCACCGGCUAACUCUGUGCCAGCAGCCGCGGUAAUACAGAGGGUGCAAGCGUUAAUCGGAAUUACUGGGCGUAAAGCGCGCGUAGGUGGUUUGUUAAGUUGAAUGUGAAAUCCCCGGGCUCAACCUGGGAACUGCAUCCAAAACUGGCAAGCUAGAGUAGGGCAGAGGGUGGUGGAAUUUUCCUGUGUAGCGGUGAAAUGCGUAGAUAUAGGAAGGAACACCAGUGGCGAAGGCGACCACCUGGGGCUCAUACUGACACUGAGGUGCGAAAGCGUGGGGAGCAAACGAGGAUUAGAAUACC
rnacentral:rRNA from 1 species